ACUGAUUCCACGUUGUUUUGUUUUGCAGAUUAUCGGGCUGCUGGACGUGUUCACCCCGUCCACUACCUACAGCGACUUCCAGGACGUAUAUCUCGUGACUCCUCUGAUGGGUGCCGACUUAAACAAUAUCGUCAAAACACAAAAGUUAACAGAUGAUCAUGUUCAGUUCCUCAUAUACCAAGUCCUUCGAGGCCUUAAGUACAUUCAUUCAGCGGGUAUUAUCCACAGGGAUCUAAAGCCAAGUAAUAUAGCUGUCAAUGAAGAUUGUGAGCUGAAGAUCCUCGACUUUGGUUUGGCCCGGCCCACAGAGUCAGAGAUGACUGGUUAUGUGGCCACCAGGUGGUACCGUGCUCCAGAGAUUAUGCUCAACUGGAUGCAUUAUAAUCAGACAGUGGAUAUCUGGUCAGUAGGCUGCAUAAUGGCUGAGCUUCUGACUAGCAGAACCUUAUUCCCAGGUGCUGAUCACAUUGACCAACUAACGCGCAUCCUAGUGGUCGCCGGAACGCCGGAUGAAGAAACUUUAUCUAAAAUCACCAGUGAGGAGGCUCGCAACUACAUACGCUCGCUGCCCCACAUGAGGAAGAAGGACUUUAAGCAAGUCUUCCGUGGAGCGAAUCCCUUAGCGGUAGACCUACUAGAGAAGAUGCUGGAGCUGGACAGUGAAAGGCGUGUAACGGCAGCCCAAGCAUUGGCCCACCCUUACCUGGCUCAGUAUGCGGAUCCCAGUGACGAGCCUGACAGCGAGCCCUACGACCAGAGCUUCGAGGACAUGGAUCUCCCAACUGAGAAGUGGAAAGAACUUGUCUGGAAAGAAGUUAUAGCCUUGUGUUGACCUCAUAACUGAAAUCUUGGUAAAUUUUUACCUCAUAUUUUAAAACUAAGAACUUGUCUGGAAAGAAGUUAUAGACUUCUCACCUAAGCCAGCAGUAUUGGCAGAAGAAGCAGAGAAAACGCAGUCAUCAUCGCAGUGAGAGUCGCACUUCAAAACUGAGUACUUUGUUUCG
rnacentral:misc_RNA from 1 species